GAAUUGGAUGCUCUAGAGAAGGGU
rnacentral:piRNA from 1 species